GGAUCGGUAGUUCAGUUGGUUAGAAUGCCGCCCUGUCACGGCGGAGGUCGCGGGUUCGAGUCCCGUCCGGUCUG
rnacentral:tRNA from 1 species